GGGGGCGAAACGGCUUCGACGGGGGUUAUGAAGCAACGGCUGCAUACCGAGCGCCUGCCAGCUCGUAAAUCCGACAGGAACAUAAAUAUAAUCGCAGACGAUUAUAACUACGCCGUAGCGGCUUAGCUACCGUUCCACCGGGGGGCGCCUGCGACCCUGGAUGGGGCGUCGACUAGCAGGACAGCCGGUUUCGGGUACCUGUACUGAAAUCGGUUAAACUCACAGGGUAAGCUUCCGGCCAUCCGGUUCGUGGGAGGGCCAGCGGACGAAAAUCAAAACACGGAAUAAGUAUGUAGAGGCUUUUGUGGAUUGCUUUCGGACGCGGGUUCAACUCCCGCCGCCUCCACCA
rnacentral:tmRNA from 1 species